UACGAAGGGGGCUAGCGCUGCUCGGAAUCACUGGGCGUAAAGCGCACGUAGGCGGAUUGUUAAGUCAGGGGUGAAAUCCUGGAGCUCAACUCCAGAACUGCCUUUGAUACUGGCGAUCUCGAGUCCGGGAGAGGUGAGUGGAACUGCGAGUGUAGAGGUGAAAUUCGUAGAUAUUCGCAAGAACACCAGUGGCGAAGGCGGACUCACUGGCCCGGUACUGACGCUGAGGUGCGAAAGCGUGGGAGCAAACAGG
rnacentral:rRNA from 1 species